UAGGGAAUCUUCCACAAUGGACGCAAGUCUGAUGGAGCAACGCCGCGUGAGUGAAGAAGGUUUUCGGACCGUAAAGCUCUGUUGUUGGUGAAGAAGGAUAGAGGUAGUAACUGGCCUUUAUUUGACGGUAAUCAACCAGAAAGUCACGGCUAACUACGUGCCAGCAGCCGCGGUAAUACGUAGGUGGCAAGCGUUGUCCGGAUUAUUGGGCGUAAAGCGAGCGCAGGCGGAAGAAUAAGUCUGAUGUGAAAGCCCUCGGCUUAACCGAGGAAUUGCAUCGGAAACUGUUUUCUUGAGUGCAGAAGAGGAGAGUAGAACUCCAUGUGUAGCGGUGGAAUGCGUAGAUAUAUGGAAGAAUACCAGUGGCGAAGGCGGCUCUCUGGUCUGCAACUGACGCUGAGGCUCGAAAGCAUGGGUAGCGAACAGGAUUAGAUACCCUGGUAGUCCAUGCCGUAAACGAUGAGUGCUAAGUGUUGGGAGGCUUCCGCCUCUCAGUGCUGCAGCUAACGCAUUAAGCACUCCGCCUGGGGGAGUACGACCGCAAGGUUGAAAC
rnacentral:rRNA from 1 species